AUUGAACGCUGGCGGCAGGCCUAACACAUGCAAGUCGAGCGAGCGGCGGACGGGUGAGUAAUGUCUGGGAAACUGCCUGAUGGAGGGGGAUAACUACUGGAAACGGUAGCUAAUACCGCAUACCAUCAGAUGUGCACAGAUGUGAUUGGUUGGUAGGUGGGGUAACGGCUCACCUAGGCGACGAUCCCUAGCUGGACUGAGAGGAUGACCAGCCACCCUGGAACGGGAACACGGCCCAGCCUCCUACGGGGGGCAGCAGUGGGGAAUAUUGCACAAUGGGCGCAAGCCUGAUGCAGCCAUGCCGCGUGUUUGAAGAGGUCCUUUGGUUUGUAAAGCACUUUCAGCGGGGAGGCGUUACCUGCAGAAGAAGCACCGGCUAACUCCGUGCCAGCAGCCGCGGUAAUUC
rnacentral:rRNA from 1 species